UACGGAGGGUGCAAGCGUUGCUCGGAAUUACUGGGCGUAAAGGGCGUGUAGGCGGUUUCGUAUGUCUGGCGUGAAAGCCCCGGGCUCACCUCGGGAAGUGCGUCGGAAACUGCGAGACUAGAGUCCCGGAGAGGGAGGUGGAAUUCCAGGUGUAGCGGUGAAAUGCGUAGAUAUCUGGAAGAACACCGGUGGCGAAGGCGGCCUCCUGGACGGUGACUGACGCUGAGGCGCGAAAGCUAGGGGAGCAAACGGG
rnacentral:rRNA from 1 species